UGGCGAAAAGCUGAACCUUUUGCCAGCAUGCUUGAAACUACUUCUUGUGCUCUAUUGACAUACAUUCUUCCAUUGCUAGGGGGACUAGUUUUAGCCUCAACAUUUGAUGGAACACUUUCAGAAAGAACAGCAGAUACAGCAUUGUCCACCCUUCUUACUUCCCGUAGCUCACAAUUUGGCACAUAAUUUUCUGCUGGAGUUAUACUCACUAUCUGGUCCACCAUAGUUGCUCCCGACAACAGCAAUGCAAUUUCAAGUGCUUUAUGAUCUUUGAAUGUAACAAAUGCAGUCUUUGAUAGCCCAUUUUCACGUUGGAUCUCAAUGUGCUCGAUUUCGCCAGAGAAAGAGAAGAACUCGUGAAUCUCUCUCUCACUAGCUAGAUCUGAUACAUGCUUCACUUGAACCGUUCUCGUCUGCAUUGCGAGCUCCU
rnacentral:misc_RNA from 1 species